UACUACAAUGGCAGGUACAGAGGGAUGCUACCGGGCGACCGGAUGCGGAUCUCGAAAGCCUGUCCCAGUUCGGACUGGAGUCUGCAACCCGACUACCACGAAGUUGGAUUCGCUAGUAAUCGCGCAUCAGCCAUGGCGCGGUGAAUACGUUCCCGGGCCUUGUACACACCGCCCGUCAAGCCAUGGGAGCCGGGGGCGCCUGAAGUCCGGGACCGCGAGGACCGGCCUAGGGCGAAACUGGUAACUGGGGCUAAGUCGUAACAAGGUACC
rnacentral:rRNA from 1 species